CCGGCGCACGGGUGAGUAACACGUAUGCAACCUGCCCGUCUCAGGGGGAUAAUCGUCGGAAACGGCGUCUAAUACCCCGUAUGAAGCUGGACGGCAUCGUCUGGUUUUGAAAGAAUAUCGGAGACGGAUGGGCAUGCGGCGCAUUAGCUAGUUGGCUGGGUAACGGCCCACCAAGGCGACGAUGCGUAGGGGUUCUGAGAGGAAGGUCCCCCACACUGGUACUGAGACACGGACCAGACUCCUACGGGAGGCAGCAG
rnacentral:rRNA from 1 species